AAGACAAUUAUGCUGUGGUAAGCAUGUAAUAGCCUUGGUGUGUCACAGUUUCUGCAGAUUGCUGAAUCUUAAGGCUACUUUGUGAAACACAAACUCUGUGACUAGAAAGGAUGAAGUCAUGGCAAAACUUGGAUUAUACAACUCACAAGAAAACUAAAUAGCUAAACUCAACUGGAAAAAGUCAGAAACUAAAUACUUUCUCCUCUCUGGUUAAGUUUGGAUGUUUACUUUAGGACUGUAUGGUACUUCUUGGUUUAUAAUUUUCACAUAACUAACCAUUAUCCAUAGUUCCCAGCACAAACAGGUUAAAUAACC
rnacentral:lncRNA from 1 species